GACGAACCGUGCGAACGUUAUUCGGAAUCACUGGGCUUAAAGCGCGUGUAGGCGGGUCGGCGCGUCGGUCGCUGAAAUCCCCCGGCUCAACCGGGGAAGCGGCGCCGAUACGGCCGGCCUGGAGGGACGUAGGGGGGGCUGGAACUUCCGGUGGAGCGGUGAAAUGCGUUGAGAUCGGAAGGAACGCCCGUGGCGAAAGCGGCUCACUGGAUCUCUUCUGACGCUGAGGCACGAAAGCUAGGGUAGCGAACGGG
rnacentral:rRNA from 1 species